UACGUAGGGUGCGAGCGUUAAUCGGAAUUACUGGGCGUAAAGCGUGCGCAGGCGGUUUUGUAAGCCAGAUGUGAAAGCCCCGGGCUCAACCUGGGAAUGGCAUUUGGGACUGCAAGGCUGGAGUUUGGCAGAGGAGACUGGAAUUCCUGGUGUAGCAGUGAAAUGCGUAGAUAUCAGGAAGAACACCCGUGGCUAAGGCGGCUCUCUAGUACGGUACUGACGCUGAGACGCGAAAGCGUGGGAGCGAACAGG
rnacentral:rRNA from 1 species